rnacentral:rRNA from 1 species
AUUGAACGCUGGCGGCAGGCCUAACACAUGCAAGUCGAGCGGAUGAAGGGAGCUUGCUCCUGGAUUCAGCGGCGGACGGGUGAGUAAUGCCUAGGAAUCUGCCUGGUCGUGGGGGAUAACGUCCGGAAACGGGCGCUAAUACCGCAUACGUCCUGAGGGUGAACGUGGGGGAUCUUCGGUCCUAACGCUAUCUGAUGUGCCUAGGUCGGAUUAGCUAGUUGGUGGGGUAAAGGCCUACCAAGGCGACGAUCCGUAACUGGUCUGAGAGGAUGAUCAGUCACACUGGAACUGAGACACGGUCCAGACUCCUACGGGAGGCAGCAGUGGGGAAUAUUGGACAAUGGGCGAAAGCCUGAUCCAGCCAUGCCGCGUGUGUGAAGAAGGUCUUCGGAUUGUAAAGCACUUUAAGUUGGGAGGAAGGGCAGUAAGUUAAUACCUGGCUGUUUUGACGUUACCAACAGAAUAAGCACCGGCUAACUUCGUG